CUCAUGACCUCUAGCGUAGAGAUCAACAUCCUCCUAUAUUUUUUUUCUUCUCUAAGAGUGUCUUGAGAGAAAAAAAAAAUUUCAACCUUCAAGAUGUGAUCUCUGUAAGGGAGCUAGCACCCCGAUGAGAUCAAAAAGUUUUUGAUCAGAUCAGAAUUUUGUGUGGAUACCCGUAGCGCUUGUGCGGCUAUAAAGGACCUUCAAAAGAUAUCCAUGAUCAUCAGUUUGCGGU
rnacentral:lncRNA from 1 species